rnacentral:lncRNA from 10 species
CUGGUUUAGACCAAGUCCCUUCAGGGGACUGGACUGGGAGUAAGCAGAGGCCAUGCUUCCUGCCUGGCUUGGCAGGAGUGAGGGGCUGCUGGACGCCCACGGGGUUGCUGGCUCUGGAGAGGGAACUGGUAGUGCUGGAGGGUGAUCCAGGGGGAGCAGUCCCCACCUCCACCAUUGCUCAACCACCCGCCUGCUUUCUGCUCAGCUUUCCCCAGAGGCCUGCUGGGGGCUUGCUGCGCAGCCGCAAACAAAAAGGCCUCUUUGUAGAUCCUCCCCUAGGACGCUCCGGAGGAAACAGCUCCCCUCGAAGCGGUAUUCAGCAUUCACGGCUGUCACCCAGGAGUCCCUGCUGGGUGCUGGGCCCAGUGCCGGGAGCUACAAAGAUUCUUGAUUAAUUCACCAUUUCCCAGCCAUUGGAAUAAGAAGUGCCUCUGUAGCAUUUGCUGGUGCUCACUCAGACAUCUGCCUUUAUUUUUGUGGACAAAGAAAAAUUUACAGCACAUUUUUAAUCAAGGCAUACAUGGUAGCAAACCAAGGUUUCUAGGAAAACCAUGAAAAGUCACCUCGACUGGAAGGAUGGAGCGCGUCACAACAAUAACACAGCGGGGACCUGGAUGAGAGGAGCAGAGAGUUAAUUUGUGGAGGGGAAUGAAUAGUCCACUUGAUGGAAGAACAACUUUCUGCCCUGUCUGAAGAUGUGACAGAUGGCCAUGAGGAGAUUGCCCUGGGAUGGCUCCCCGAGGGGCUCAAGGGUAUUGCCUGUACCAUCUGCCUGGGUCUCAGACUGAGGAUGACGAGGAGCAGAGUGGCAGCCAACUCAUAAUAGGUAUGUUGCAUAGCAGGGAAAUAAAAUUUUGUUGCUGCAAGCCAUUGAGAUUUGGGGUUGCUUGUUAGUGCAUCAUGACAUAGCCUAAGCAAACCAAUAUACUUGGCAAAAUUAAAAAUAGGCAACCGUGUAGGGCCUCAUCAGGUUAUUACAAUUUUAUAAGUCUACAAAUUCAGGCAUUUGGGGCUUAUCACUGUAUGUAAAAAUGAAAUGGUAGGUAACAAUGCUGAGUAUUACUCUAGGCCUAUGCUGUCUAAUACAGUCGCCACUAGCCACACAUGUCUAUUGAGCACUUGAAAUGUGGCUAGUCAGAAUGAAGAUGUGAUAUAAAUGUCAAAUACACACAAGUUUUUGAAGACUUAAUACAAAGGAAUGUGUGAAAUAUCUCAAUUUUUAUAUUGAUUACAUGUUGAAAUGAUAAUGUUUUGAAUCUAUUGGGUCAAAAUCAGAAAGAGUGCUAGCUUUAAUUUCACUUGCUUCUUUUUUUAAUGUGGCUACUAAAAUGUUUAAAUCACAUAUGUGGGUCAUAUUAGAUGUUUACUGCACAGCUCUGCUGUAGGCUAUUACAUCAAACAGAGUUUGGUUUCUUUCUUCAUUCUGCCGGUGUCUCCCUGUGAUCUUGCAGAAGUCGCUUCAUAUCUCACACUCCUCAUCUGCAAGAGAGAACAAUACUUGCCUCCUGGGAUAUUAUAAGGACUAAGUAAGAUCAUGAGUAUGUUGUGCCACCCAUGGUAAAUGCCCUUCUUUUCUCAAAUCACACAAUGAUGUAUUUUUUUG